rnacentral:rRNA from 1 species
UACGGAGGGUGCAAGCGUUAUCCGGAUUCACUGGGUUUAAAGGGUGCGUAGGUGGGUCUGUAAGUCAGUGGUGAAAUCUCUGAGCUUAACUCGGAAACUGCCAUUGAUACUAUAGGUCUUGAAUUAUCUGGAGGUGAGCGGAAUAUGUCAUGUAGCGGUGAAAUGCUUAGAUAUGACAUAGAACACCAAUUGCGAAGGCAGCUCACUACGGAUAUAUUGACACUGAGGCACGAAAGCGUGGGGAUCAAACAGG